rnacentral:rRNA from 1 species
UACGUAGGUCGCAAGCGUUGUCCGGAUUUACUGGGCGUAAAGAGCGCGCAGGCGGCUGGUCAAGUCCGAUGUGAAAUCUCCCGGCUCAACUGGGAAACUGCAUCGGAAACUGAUCGGCUUGAAGAUGGGAGAGGGUAGUGGAAUUCCCGGUGUAGUGGUGAAAUGCGUAGAUAUCGGGAGGAACACCAGUGGCGAAGGCGGCUCACUGGCCCGAUACUGACGCUGAGGUGCGAAAGCGUGGGGAGCAAACAGG